AAGAAUUUAGUUUAUUAAAACAUUAAUUUGUCAAAUUAAAAAUACUAAUAUGUAAUUCUUU
rnacentral:tRNA from 1 species